UAGCUCAAAUGGUAGAGCGCUCGCUUAG
rnacentral:piRNA from 1 species